rnacentral:rRNA from 1 species
UCUGACUNGAGUGCAGAAGGGGAGAGUGGAAUUCCAUGUGUAGCGGUGAAAUGCGUAGAUAUAUGGAGGAACACCAGUGGCGAAAGCGGCUCUCUGNUCUGUCACUGACGCUGAGGCUNGAAAGCGUGGGUAGCGAACAGGAUUAGAUACCCUGGUAGUCCACGCCGUAAACGAUGAGUGCUAGGUGUUAGGCCCUUUCCGGGGCUUAGUGCCGGAGCUAACGCAAUAAGCACUCCGCCUGGGGAGUACGACCGCAAGGUUGAAACUCAAAGGAAUUGACGGGGGCCCGCACAAGCGGUGGAGCAUGUGGUUUAAUUCGAAGCAACGCGAAGAACCUUACCAGGUCUUGACAUCCCGAUGCUAUUCUUAGAGAUAGGAAGUUACUUCGGUACAUCGGAGACAGGUGGUGCAUGGUUGUCGUCAGCUCGUGUCGUGAGAUGUUGGGUUAAGUCCCGCAACGAGCGCAACCCUUAUUGUUAGUUGCCAUCAUUAAGUUGGGCACUCUAGCGAGACUGCCGGUAAUAAACCGGAGGAAGGUGGGGAUGACGUCAAAUCAUCAUGCCCCUUAUGACCUGGGCUACACACGUGCUACAAUGGUCGGUACAACGAGUUGCGAGCCGGUGACGGCAAGCUAAUCUCUGAAAGCCGAUCUCAGUUCGGAUUGGAGGCUGCAACUCGCCUCCAUGAAGUCGGAAUCGCUAGUAAUCGCGGAUCAGCACGCCGCGGUGAAUACGUUCCCGGGCCUUGUACACACCGCCCGUCACACCACGAGAGUUUGUAACACCCGAAGUCGGUGAGGUANCCUUUUAGGGGCCA